rnacentral:rRNA from 1 species
AGAUGACGAGCGGCGGACGGGUGAGUAAUGCUUGGGAACAUGCCUUGAGGUGGGGGACAACAGUUGGAAACGACUGCUAAUACCGCAUAAUGUCUACGGACCAAAGGGGGCUUCGGCUCUCGCCUUUAGAUUGGCCCAAGUGGGAUUAGCUAGUUGGUGAGGUAAUGGCUCACCAAGGCGACGAUCCCUAGCUGGUUUGAGAGGAUGAUCAGCCACACUGGGACUGAGACACGGCCCAGACUCCUACGGGAGGCAGCAGUGGGGAAUAUUGCACAAUGGGCGAAAGCCUGAUGCAGCCAUGCCGCGUGUGUGAAGAAGGCCUUCGGGUUGUAAAGCACUUUCAGUCAGGAGGAAAGGUUAGUAGUUAAUACG